rnacentral:rRNA from 1 species
CACGUAGGGCGCAAGCGUUGUCCGGAAUUAUUGGGCGUAAAGAGCUCGUAGGCGGUCCGCCACGUCCGCUGUGAAAACCUAGGGCUUAACCCUGGGCUUGCAGUAGAUACGGGCAGACUAGAGGUAGGUAGGGGAGAAUGGAAUUCCCGGUGUAGCGGUGAAAUGCGCAGAUAUCGGGAGGAACACCGGUGGCGAAGGCGGUUCUCUGGGCCUUACCUGACGCUGAGGAGCGAAAGCGUGGGGAGCAAACAGG